rnacentral:rRNA from 1 species
CCUUCGGGUUGUAAAGCACUUUCGGACGGAACGAAAUCGCGCGGGUGAAUAUCCCGCGUGGAUGACGGUACCGUAAGAAGAAGCACCGGCUAACUACGUGU